AGCAGUCGCCGCGGUAAUACGUAGGGUGCGAGCGUUAAUCGGAAUUACUGGGCGUAAAGCGUGCGCAGGCGGUUAUAUAAGACAGAUGUGAAAUCCCCGGGCUCAACCUGGGACCUGCAUUUGUGACUGUAUAGCUAGAGUACGGUAGAGGGGGAUGGAAUUCCGCGUGUAGCAGUGAAAUGCGUAGAUAUUCGCAAGAACACCAGUGGCGAAGGCGGCUCACUGGACCUGUACUGACGCUCAUGCACGAAAGCGUGGGGAGCAAACAGGAUUAGAUACCCGCGUAGUCCCUGUCUCUUAUAC
rnacentral:rRNA from 1 species